UACGGAGGGUGCAAGCGUUAUCCGGAUUCACUGGGUUUAAAGGGUGCGUAGGCGGGCAUUUAAGUCAGUGGUGAAAUACCUGAGCUUAACUUGGGAACUGCCAUUGAUACUAUCUGUCUUGAAUACCGUGGAGGUGAGCGGAAUAUGUCAUGUAGCGGUGAAAUGCUUAGAUAUGACAUAGAACACCAAUUGCGAAGGCAGCUCACUACGCGAAUAUUGACACUGAGGCACGAAAGCGUGGGGAUCAAACAGG
rnacentral:rRNA from 1 species